UGGUAAGUUACUAAGGGCAUAUGGUGGAUGCCUUGGCACGAGAAGGCGAUGAAGGACGUGGUAAGCUGCGAUAAGCUUCGGGUAGGUGCAAACAACCUUUGACCCGGAGAUUUCCGAAUGGGGCAACCUGUCCGCCGUAAUGGGCGGACACUUCCUGCUGAAUAUAUAGGCAGGAUAGAGCGAACGAGGGGAACUGAAACAUCUCAGUACCUUUAGGAAAAGAAAGCAAUCGCGAUUCCCUAAGUAGCGGCGAGCGAAAAGGGAACAGCCUAAACUUUCUCUAUGUUAAAGCCUGCACGCGUUGUAGAGAGAGGGUUGUGGGAUUUAGUCGGGUAAAAGUGUAGUUUUACCGGGAAGUUACAAAUUAUCCAUUUAGUCGAAUGUCUCUGGAAAGAUCAGCCAAAGAGGGUGAUAGCCCCGUAGACGAAGAAUGCGAUAACUUCUUGGGCUAAAUUCCCAAGUACUGCGAGACACGUGGAAUCUCGCAGGAAUCUGGGUGGACCAUCACCCAAGGCUAAAUACUCUCUCGUGACCGAUAGUGAACUAGUACCGUGAGGGAAAGGUGAAAAGUACCGGGGAACCGGAGUGAAAUAGUACCUGAAACCAUAUGCUUACAAACAGUCGGAGUCCUGAUUCGUCGGGAUGACGGCGUGCCUUUUGCAUAAUGAACUGGUGAGUUACUCGUAUAUUGCAAGGUUAAUCUGUUCAGCAGAGUAGCCGUAGCGAAAGCGAGUCUGAAUAGGGCGAUUAGUAAUAUGCGGUAGACGCGAAACCGAGUGAUCUAUCCAUGGUCAGGAUGAAGCGGUUGUAAAAGAUCGUGAAGGUCCGAACCCACCAGGGUUGAAAACCUGGGGGAUGAACUGUGGAUAGGGGUGAAAGGCCAAUCAAACUCGGAGAUAGCUCGUUCUCCCCGAAAUAGCUUUAGGGCUAGCCUCGUAUAAUAGAGUGACGGAGGUAGAGCACUGAUUGGGCUAGGGCCCUCACAAGGGUACCAACCCCUGACAAACUCCGAAUGCCGUACACUUGUUCUACGGGAGUCAGGCUAUGGGGGAUAAGCUUCAUAGCCGAGAGGGAAACAACCCAGACCGUCAGUUAAGGUCCCUAAGUGUGAGCUAAGUGAUAAAGGAUGUGGGAUUGCUCAGACAACCAGGAUGUUGGCUUAGAAGCAGCCAUCAUUUAAAGAGUGCGUAAUAGCUCACUGGUCAAGUGAGCCUGCGCCGACAAUAAUCGGGACUUAAGCUCAUCACCGAAACUACGGUUCCGCCUCAGGCGGAAGGUAGGGGAGCGUUCCAUUAACCUGCGAAGGUGUUCUGCGAAGAAUGCUGGAGGAGAUGGAAAUGAGUAUGCCAGCAUGAGUAGCGAUAAACCCGGUGAGAAUCCGGGUCACCGAAAGUCUAAGGUUUCCUGAGUAAAGUUAAUCUUCUCAGGGUUAGUCGGAUCCUAAGCCGAGGCCAAAAGGCGUAGGUAAUGGGAAACAGGUUUAAUAUUCCUGUACCAUCUGUAAAUCGUUUGAGUUAUGGGGUGACGCAGAAGUGACAGGUUAGCCGGACUCUGGAUUGCCGGUCUAAGUGUGUAGGAGGAUCGGAUAGGCAAAUCCGUCCGAUCAUAACUCCGAGACACGAAUGGGAGGGCUUAGCCCACAAACUGACCGUAAUCAUGCUGCCAAGAAAAACCUCUAUAGGAGAUUUAUAGGUGACCGUACCGCAAACCGACACAGGUAGAUGGGGUGAGAAUCCUAAGGUGCUCGAGAUAACUCUGGUUAAGGAACUAGGCAAAAUGGCUCCGUAACUUCGGGAGAAGGAGCGCCCUGAGUAUGUGAAUCCAAUCACUGGAGGAGCAGAAAAGGGCCUCAGUGAAAAUGCCUGGGCGACUGUUUACUAAAAACACAGGUCUCUGCUAAGUCGUAAGACGAAGUAUAGGGACUGACACCUGCCCGGUGCUGGAAGGUUAAGGGGAGAUGUCAUCCUGAGCUUGUCGAGGGAGAAGCAUUGAACCGAAGCCCCAGUAAACGGCGGCCGUAACUAUAACGGUCCUAAGGUAGCGAAAUUCCUUGUCGGGUAAGUUCCGACCUGCACGAAUGGCGUAACGACUUGGGCACUGUCUCAACCAGAGGCUCGGCGAAAUUGUAGCACCGGUGAAGAUGCCGGUUACCCGCGACAGGACGGAAAGACCCCGUGAACCUUUACUAUAGCUUAGCAUUGGGUUUUGGUAUUGCAUGUGUAGGAUAGGUGGGAGACUGUGAAAUGGCAACGCCAGUUGUCAUGGAGUCGUCGUUGAAAUACCACCCUUGUUCUACCGGAAUCCUAACUCAGAACCGUGAAUCCGGUUCGGGGACCAUGCUAGGUGGGUAGUUUGACUGGGGCGGUCGCCUCCCAAAGCGUAACGGAGGCGCCCAAAGGUUCCCUCAGCACGGUCGGUAAUCGUGCGUAGAGUGUAAAGGCAUAAGGGAGCUUGACUGCGAGACAUACAGGUCGAGCAGGUGCGAAAGCAGGGCUUAGUGAUCCGGCGGUUGCGAGUGGAAGCGCCGUCGCUCAACGGAUAAAAGGUACUCCGGGGAUAACAGGCUGAUCAGGCCCAAGAGUUCACAUCGACGGCCUGGUUUGGCACCUCGAUGUCGGCUCAUCGCAUCCUGGGGCUGGAGAAGGUCCCAAGGGUUUGGCUGUUCGCCAAUUAAAGCGGUACGUGAGCUGGGUUUAGAACGUCGUGAGACAGUUCGGUCCCUAUCUGUCGCGGGCGUAGGAUAUUUGAGAGGAGCUGCUCCUAGUACGAGAGGACCGGAGUGGACGAACCUCUAGUGUACCAGUUGUCGCGCCAGCGGCACUGCUGGGUAGCUAUGUUCGGAAGGGAUAAGCGCUGAAAGCAUCUAAGUGCGAAGCCCACCUCAAGAUAAGAUAUCCCUCCCGACUUCGGUCGGGACUGAAGGCUCCUUGGAGAUUACAAGGCGAUAGGCCACAGGUGUAAGUAUGGUAACAUAUUCAGCCGAGUGGUACUAAUAAGCCGUGCGGCUUACU
rnacentral:rRNA from 1 species